GGCCUGAUAGUUCAGUGGUAGAAUUCUUGCUUUGGGUUAGAAUGUAAGAGGUCUCCGGUUCGAUCCCGGAUUAGGCCC
rnacentral:tRNA from 1 species